UACGUAGGGGGCGAGCGUUGUCCGGAGUUACUGGGCGUAAAGCGCUUGUAGGCGGUCCACCAAGUUUGGGGUGACAGUUGCCGACUUAAUCGGCAAAGUGCCUCAAAGACUGGCGGACUUGAGGGCCACAGAGGGACAUGGAACUCCAGGUGUAGUGGUGAAAUGCGUAGAUAUCUGGAAGAACACCAAAGGCGAAGGCAGUGGCCGGGGGGGUCGCGGACGCGGAGAGGCGAAAGCCAGGGGAGCGAACGGG
rnacentral:rRNA from 1 species